GCAUUCCUGAGAUGUUCGCCAAGCUUAUCAUAUUCAACCUACAUAUGAUAUUCGGGAUUUGCAAUAAUAUUAAUAAUGUCGGGCUCCAAGCUUUUGCUUCAUUUAUGACAGGAGAUGACAGAGAUAAUAUGAGCGAAACCCACCUGCGAGGCGCAGGUCUUGAAUAUAUAGGCAAACGGCAUGUUGGGAUGAU
rnacentral:other from 1 species